GACGAACGCUGGUGGCGUGCUUAACACAUGCAAGUCGAACGGUGAAGCGCCUUCCUUUUUGGUGGGUGUGGAUGAGUGGCGAACGGGUGAGUAACACGUGAGUAACCUGCCCCCUUCUUCUGGAUAACCGCAUGAAAGUGUGGCUAAUACGGGAUAUUCUGGGUCUGUCGCAUGAUGGGUCUGGGAAAGAUAUUGUUUCGGUGGGGGAUGGGCUCGCGGCCUAUCAGCUUGUUGGUGGGGUGAUGGCCUACCAAGGCGGUGACGGGUAGCCGGCCUGAGAGGGUGGACGGUCACACUGGGACUGAGACACGGCCCAGACUCCUACGGGAGGCAGCAGUGGGGAAUAGUGCACAAUGGGCGCAAGCCUGAUGCAGCGACGCCGCGUGAGGGAUGGAGGCCUGCGGGUUGUGAACCUCUUUCGCCAGUGAAGCAGGCCUGCCUCGUUUGUGGGUGGGUUGACGGUAGCUGGAGAAGAAGCGCCGGCUAACUACGUG
rnacentral:rRNA from 1 species